rnacentral:rRNA from 1 species
UACGGAGGAUCCAAGCGUUAUCCGGAUUUACUGGGCGUAAAGAGUUGCGUAGGUGGUUUGCCAAGUUUCCGUUUAAAUGCCAAGGCUCAACCUUGGAAGUGACGGAAAAACUGGCAAACUCGAGAAUGAGAGAGGUCACUGGAAUUACUAGUGUAGGAGUGAAAUCCGUAGAUAUUAGUAGGAACACCAAUGGCGUAGGCAGGUGACUGGCUCAUUUCUGACACUGAGGCACGAAAGCGUGGGGAGCGAACGGG